UAUAGGCAAAUACAAGAUAAUUUCACGUUCGACCUAUAACCUACUAUUAGAAUCCGCGGUCAAUUCGUUAUAGCCAUUGAACCUACGUAUCUUCAUAAAUUAGUUUAUUUGACGACGAAACUUUAAUUAUCGUAAUUCAAAGUAAUGGAGACGAAAAAAUGCAUAGCGAAUAAUGAUUCAAAAUUAGACGGGUGUGAGCAAAAGAGCAAAAACAGUUACUGGAAACACUUGCUGAGCCAGCAUGAAAAGAAGUAUGCAGCGCUGGAGAGGCGCCAAGCUGCCCUUGCUGAAAGGGUGAAAUUCAUGGAGUACGCGCUGCCAUCUUUAUUAAUGGGUACUGCAAUAAAUUCACAGCAAAAACCAGAAAAUUCAAAAUCGCCUUCCAAGGCUCUUGAUAAGUGAGGAUAAUGGUUUGUUUGCCGAGAAUGUCGUCAACGAAAUAUAAAUAGUGAAAAAAAAAUUAAUUAAAAUGAUUACAUUGAUAGUAAAAAAGUCCGAGGAAAAUACAAGGCAAUGUUCAAAUACAUUAUUCAUAUUUUACCUCUGCUAUAUAACUUAAAUUAAAAAAAAAGAUAAUAUUUCAAUUGAAUGGAACUGACCAAUUCAUUGAUAGGAAAAUGUGUGUUUAAGGUAACAAACGUGUACACGUGUGACACAAAUUGAUAAGUAUCAUUAUAGGUAUUUUAUUCAGUAAAAUACAAGUAUUGCAAACUGAGUAAAUAACUCGUUAAUCAUACCUCGACGAAAUAACGCCUAGAAAAUGAAACCAUAUUUUCUUGGGUUUAUAUAUCAUAAUUAAUAAUGUGCUCUCGAGAUACACAUAUUAAAAGGCACUUAUCAACUAAAAACUGCGAUUUUUUCGUAAUCGCUCGAAAACGUCGUACCAUACUUUUAAUACAAAUGUACAUUAACUCUACGCAAUAUGAGAAUAUAAAUUUUCGUAUCUCGAGGCUAUUCGUCCUUAUUGAAGAAAAAUUUGAUUGAAACGCCGUGUUUACUUUGUAAUUCUCACACAAAAAAAAUAUAUCGACUAGAUACAGUACCUAAAAACCCUAAUUCGGAUUUUUCGUAUACGCGGCGUUGAUUUGUCUUCUUACUCUCGGCAGCUUUAACUUUUUAAUCUCUUUGAGAUUUACUUUUGUCACGUACACAAAACACGCAUAAUUUAAUAUAAUUAGGGUUUGUCGAGGACUUCGUACUCUUAAACGAAAGUAUAUCCAUGCGAAUGCGUACCUGAACAAUUUCAAUUUACAUUAGUAAAAAACUAUUUUGUUACAUAUAACAAUGUUAUAUCUUAG